rnacentral:lncRNA from 1 species
GUAGUUGACUCAAAGAGAAAGACAAUAGUUGAACAGUUUUGAACAAAUUGAAUUUCUUCCAAAAAAUGUUUUUAUUUAUUUAACUAGGCAAGUCAGUUAAGAACAAAUUCUUAUUUUCAAUGACGGCCUAGGAACAGUGGGUUAACUGCCUGUUCAAGGGCAGAACGACAGAUUUGUACCUUGUCAGCUCGGGGGUUUGAACUUGCAACCUUCCGGUUACUAGUCCAACGCUCUAACCACUAGGUUUCUCCUAGGAGAAGGAGAAGCUAGAGAUUCACUUUCAGUUUCACUUGCUUAGCUAGAAAAUGCAGCUAGAUACAGUUGUUUAGCCUACUCAAACACCCUGCUAAAACAGAGGGAAGAUAUGUUAGCUAGCUGGCUAUGACUAUCCAACACAACACUGGAACUCUUCUAAGGUAAGCUUUGGUUUGACACCCUGCUAAAACAGAGGGAUGAUAUGUUAGCUAGCUGGCUAUGACUAUCCAACACAACACUGGAACUCUUCUAAGGUAAGCUUUGGUUUGACACCCUGCUAAAACAGAGGGAUGAUAUGUUAGCUAGCUGGCUAUGACUAUCCAACACAACACUGGAACUCUUCUAAGGUAAGCUUUUGGUUUGACACCCUGCUAAAACAGAGGGAAGAUAUGUUAGCUAGCUGGCUAUGACUAUCCAACACAACACUGGAACUCUUCUAAGGUAAGCUUUUGGUUUGACACCCUGCUAAAACAGAGGGAUGAUAUGUUAGCUAGCUGGCUAUGACUAUCCAACACAACACUGGAACUCUUCUAAGCGGAACAACAUGGAGGACCAGGCAUAAUGAAUUACUGUGUUGUGUCUCUACAGCUGAACAACAUGAUGGAGGACCAGACAUACUGCUGUGCCUUCUGAUGCAUGGUAACAUGCUCCCUUUGUCCUGAUCUUGUCCACAUUCUGAUUGUGCCCACAUUUUUAGACAGGUGUAGACGAUUAAAAAAACACAUUGUGAUCUGAUCUGCGUGACCACAUGUAGGUAGCCAGGCACGCUUUAUGUCUUGAUAUUAAUCAAGUGUAAACACAUCUGGAUGGUAAUUUAAAUCUUCAUUAUUCUGGCCUCGAAAAUCAUUGACAGAUCGCAUACUAUUUAUGGUGCUUUCAAGACAACUGGGAACUCUAUAAAAAAAAAAUAGGUGACGUCAGUGAUCUUCAGGUAGUAAAAUCUAGUUCUAGAAAGGUGCCAGAGUAUCC